rnacentral:lncRNA from 1 species
AGUUAUAUUGGUAACUAGUCUCUAAAAGAUAGAUGGGUUUGCACUAAUGACCUAGAUAUGCACGAUUAAACAUUAACAAUUUAGACAAUGUGAAGAAGUAGUAUAUAAUAUAGGCAUUUAAAAUUUCAACAACAACAUUGAUUGAAUGGGGAAGAAGAAGAGGUACAUGUGAGCAACGUAGGAGCAAUAGGGUGGGAAUUGGGAGAUUCCUAAUGUCCAAUAAUAAUACAAAAAUUACUUGGGAAGUGGGUGGGAGAUAUUUAUUUUUAUAAUAAGAGGGCCGGGUCUGGAAACAGCAAGAAAUGUCUGCAUGGUGAAAGAUACUCUCUGCCACACCCCAUCAGAACGAAAGAUUAUGUUGGUGUUGGUGUUGGUGUUUGUAUGUUUGGUUUGGUUUUGGGUUCAGCUUCAGCAGCCGGCAAAUUUACUAGCUCACCCUGCAGUCAGCCAGCCUAGCUAUAGCUAAGCUAGCUAAAAAGGAAUCAAAACAAACCACCAAAAAACAAAGUCUCCCAUUAACAAACAACAGGAACUGGAUGCUGCUGCUGCUGUUCCACACCCCCAAUGGCUCUGCUUCUGCUAACUGCUACUGCUCAUGAAAAACAAAUAAUAAUAAUAAUAAUAGACACCUAAAAGUCAAAGAGUAAGACUUAUUAAGAGAAUUUAUGCGUUCAAAGCACAAAGAACAAGGAAGGAAUAGCAGUACGUAAUAGUAAUUAAUUAAGAGAGAGUUGGCAGAAUGGCAGGUAGUAGUAGACUAGUAGUAAAAUGAAAUCACAUGGAAGCCAUAAUAUUAAUUGGGCCUCCCCACUCACCCAAUCCCAUGAAGACUGAAGAGCUUUAAGCAGCUGCAGACUCUCUCUCUGGCUCUGCUAUCUUUUUGCAGUGUUGCUCUCUGUGUGCCAAAGUUUUUUGAGCUUAAAUUGGCAAAUGUGUUGACAAAUACUCACCUCAUAGGUGGGUGGGUGGGUGGGUGGGUGAGUUGUUUGGUUUCGUGUAAGUCUUUCAACAACAUUUAUUAUUAAAUUUAUGAAUGAAUGAAUGAAUGUAUAGCUAGAGCAUUUCAAUUUCUCCUCACAUAUUCCCAGGUAGUGGUAGCUUUG